AUACCAUGUAUUGGCAGGAAUGUAGGACUUUCCUGUUUGGAGUCUUGAAUGGAGGGUCUGACCAGGGCUUGCCAGAGUAAACCUCUCUAAUAGAAGGAGGAGGAGCUGUUAGGGAAUGCGGCCCCUGGACUCUUUGUUCUUGCUCAGUAUUAGGGAAAAUUAAAUAAUUUUAAUGAGAGCUAUCCUAGAUUUUAUAUGUAUUUCCCAUUUGAUCCUCAUAAAAUGUUCGUGAACUCUUGGACCAGAGAGAUUAAAUAACCUGUCUAAGGUCACACAGCUGGAAAAGGCGGAGCCAAGAGUUGGAGGCUCCAUAGGUGGAAGGAGCCCAGAAAGUGUAACUUCUGGUAUGGAACUGAUUUCUGAGAACCGUGUCAUAUAUUGGAGAUGCUUUCCCAAGUGUGACCCUGACCUUAGGGCUGUAAGAGCAAAUUAAACAGGUGUAGUCCUCUGCCUCCAAGAGCAAAAGGUUCUCUUCACAUGGUGCUGCCAGAGGGGAAGUUCAGCUGGAUGUGUAUGUGGAUUGACAUGCACACACUGACCAGCCGGCUGCCACACUGGGAGCUGCCUUCUGGGUAACAGCUGGCGAACGGAGGCCCUUGGCCCAACAGCCCUAUGGCUGAUCCUGGAAGCAAAUCUUCCCCUGGCUAAGCCUUGAGAUCACCAGAGUCUGGCUGACACCUUGAUCAGAGCCUUGUGAGCAGCCCUGCACUGGAG